UGCGUAGGCGGAUUGAUAAGUCAGUGGUGAAAACCUUCAGCUUAACUGGAGACUUGCCAUUGAUACUGUUAGUCUUGAGUACGGUCAAGGUAGUCGGAAUGUGUAAUGUAGCGGUGAAAUGCUUAGAUAUUACACAGAACACCGAUUGCGAAGGCGGCUUACUGGGCCAUUACUGACGCUGAGGCACGAAAGCGUGGGGAGCGAACAGGAUUAGAUACCCUGGUAGUCC
rnacentral:rRNA from 1 species